rnacentral:tRNA from 1 species
GCGCAUGUGGCGGAAUUGGUAUACGCGCUACCUUGAGGUGGUAGUGGGCUUUAUGCCCGUGGAGGUUCAAGUCCUCUCGUGCGCACCA